rnacentral:rRNA from 1 species
UACGUAGGGGGCAAGCGUUGUUCGGAAUUACUGGGCGUAAAGGGCGCGUAGGCGGUCAGCACAAGUCAGUUGUGAAAUCGCCCGGCUCAACUGGGCGGGGUCAGCGGAUACGGUGUGGCUAGAGCAAGCUAGGGGGCAAUGGAAUUCCCGGUGUAGUGGUGGAAUGCGUAGAUAUCGGGAGGAACACCAGUGGCGAAGGCGGUUGCCUGGAGCUUUGCUGACGCUGAUGCGCGAAAGCGUGGGGAGCGAUCCGG